CCUACGGGGGGCAGCAGUAAGGAAUAUUGGUCAAUGGAGGCAACUCUGAACCAGCCAUGCCGCGUGCAGGAUGAAGGCCCUAUGGGUCGUAAACUGCUUUUAUACCAGAGAAAACCACCGUACGUGUACGGUGUUGAUAGUAUGGUAAGAAUAAGCAUCGGCUAACUUCGUGCCAGCAGCCGCGGUAAGACGAAGGAUGCAAGCGUUAUCCGGAUUCAUUGGGUUUAAAGGGUGCGUAGGCGGACCUGUAAGUCAGUGGUGAAAUCUCUUUGCUUAACAAAGAAACUGCCAUUGAUACUGCAAGUCUAGAGUAUAGAUGACGUUGGCGGAAUAUGACAUGUAGUGGUGAAAUACUUAGAUAUGUCAUAGAACACCGAUUGCGAAGGCAGCUAACGAAACUAUAACUGACGCUGAGGCACGAAAGUGCGGGGAUCAAACAGGAUUAGAUACCCCAGUAGUC
rnacentral:rRNA from 1 species